UACGAAGGGUGCAAGCGUUACUCGGAAUUACUGGGCGUAAAGCGUGCGUAGGUGGUUGCUUAAGUCUGCUGUGAAAGCCCUGGGCUCAACCUGGGAAUUGCAGUGGAUACUGGGCGACUAGAGUAAGGUAGAGGAUAGUGGAAUUUCCGGUGUAGCAGUGAAAUGCGUAGAGAUCGGAAGGAACAUCUGUGGCGAAGGCGACUAUCUGGGCCAUUACUGACACUGAGGCA
rnacentral:rRNA from 1 species